UUAAUGAGCGGUUGAUGAUAUAUCUUCUAAACCGCAGGUCGCGCGUUCGAAUCGCGCAGGAGGCACCA
rnacentral:tRNA from 1 species